rnacentral:rRNA from 1 species
UACAGAGGUCCCAAGCGUUGUUCGGAUUCACUGGGCGUAAAGGGUGCGUAGGCGGUCGGGUAAGUCUGAUGUGAAAUCUCACAGCUUAACUGUGAAACUGCAUUGGAUACUAUCCGGCUCGAGGAAUGGAGGGGAGACUGGAAUACUUGGUGUAGCAGUGAAAUGCGUAGAUAUCGAGAGGAACACCAGUGGCGAAGGCGAGUCCCUGGACAACACCUGACACUGAGGCACGAAAGCUAGGGGAGCAAACAGG